GCGUAAGCAACCUGUCCUCAAGUGGGGGAUAACUCCGAGAAAUCGGGGCUAAUACCGCAUAACGUGCCGAGGGUAAUGCCUCGAUGCCAAAGCCGCAAGGCCCUGGGGGAGGGGCUUGCGUCCUAUCAGGUAGUUGGUGGGGUAACGGCCUACCAAGCCGAUGACGGGUAGCUGGUCUGAGAGGAUGUCCAGCCACACUGGGACUGAGAUACGGCCCACACUCCUACGGGAGGCACCACCAAGGAAUUUUGCGCAGUGGGCGAAAGCCUGACGCACCAACGCCGCGUGGGUGAAGAAGGCCUUCGGGUCGUAAAGCCCUUUUGUUGGGGACGAAGUUCUGACGGUACCCAACGAAUAAGCCUCGGCUAACUACGUGCCAGCAGCCGCGGUAAUACGUAGGAGGCAAGCGUUAUCCGGAUUUAUUGGGCGUAAAGAGCGCGUAGGCGGCCUAUUAAGUCAGUUGUGAAAUCUCCCGGCUCAACUGGGAGAGGUCAACUGAUACUGGUGGGCUUGAGGGCAGCAGAGGGAGGUGGAAUUCCCGGUGUAACGGUGAAAUGCGUAGAGAUCGGGAGGAACACCAGUGGCGAAGGCGGCCUCCUGAGCUGUUUCUGACGCUGAGGCGCGAAAGCGUGC
rnacentral:rRNA from 1 species